rnacentral:ribozyme from 1 species
UGCCCAGCAACUCCUAUUCCUACCUCCUCGCAGUACUGACCGGGGUACGAGCAUCCUCAGGGAAGAUUUGGUAACCAACCCCGGUGGGAACUUUGGUCGCAUGCUGACAGGGAAGG